rnacentral:rRNA from 1 species
AUUGAACGCUGGCGGCAUGCUUUACACAUGCCAGUCGAACGGUAACAGGCCGCAAGGUGCUGACGAGUGGCGAACGGGUGAGUAAUGCAUCGGAACGUGCACAGUCGUGGGGGAUAACUACUCGAAAGAGUAGCUAAUACCGCAUACGAUCUAUGGAUGAAAGCGGGGGACCGUAAGGCCUCGCGCGAUUGGAGCGGCCGAUGUCAGAUUAGGUAGUUGGUGGGGUAAAGGCUCACCAAGCCAACGAUCUGUAGCUGGUCUGAGAGGACGACCAGCCACACUGGGACUGAGACACGGCCCAGACUCCUACGGGAGGCAGCAGUGGGGAAUUUUGGACAAUGGGCGCAAGCCUGAUCCAGCAAUGCCGCGUGCAGGAAGAAGGCCUUCGGGUUGUAAACUGCUUUUGUACGGAACGAAACGGCUCUGGUUAAUACCCGGGGCUAAUGACGGUACCGUAAGAAUAAGCACCGGCUAACUACGUG